rnacentral:lncRNA from 1 species
AUGUGUCACCUGGGACAGGGCGGGGCGAGGAGGCUGGACUGGAAAGACGCUGCCGCCACAGGAGCACCCGGCGCCCCGGGGAAGCCAGACAGACUCCCAUCUGGUGGUUGGGGGUCACCCGCUCCAGGGAGUGUCUCAGCUUCAUGUCUGCCUCUCAUCUCAGAGCCUAAGGUUUCCCCUCGGCUCCUUCCUGGGAGCAACACAGAUCUUUGUUGCACUGAAAACUCCAAGCCCAGGAAAAAAAGGAUGUAUUUUGGCCAAAUGAAUUUAUUCCCGGAGCCUGCUCUUGUGCGGCCCUGUGCCCAGAGCCAGAGGCAAGCCAGGGCGCGCCAGUCCUGGGGUCCUGAGGUCCUGGGGUCCUGGGGUCCUGGGGUCCCGGCCUCGGACACCUGGGUCCUGGCUGGAAGCUGUGGCUGGAUGGGCUGUUCCCUGGAUGAGCCCUCCCGGGUUUGCCUCCACCCUGCGGCUCCUCCCGGGAUGGGAAGACCCGCCGCAGGACAGGCCCAGGGGUCUCCUGUCCCCGGAGCUGCCUCAGGGGGACACUCCUCCCGGGUUCCCACCCGCCCCAACCGCCACCCUGGGGCCCUGAGGUCUUGUGUUGGGGGUCUCCGUGCUGGGUUCCGUGGGGAUGGGGGCUUAGCUCUGGGCUCCACAGGGAUGGGGGCUCCACGGGGAUGGGGAACGCCGGGAUGGGGUGCUCCACGCUGGGCUCCGCAGGGAUGGGAGGCUCUGCCAGGAUGGAGAGCACAGGGAUGGGGGAACUCUGCGCUGGACUCUGCGGGGAUGGGGAGCUCCACACUGGGCUCUGCCGAGAUGGGGGGCUCUGCACUGGGUUCCAUGGGGAUGUCCGUCCCACCACCCCUUCAGGACCAGCUUCUCUCUGCUGCACCCACACCACCUUGGGGGCUGAGGGCUCCCUCCUCCACACGGUCCUUCCCUCUAGGCCGUGGCCACCUCCCUGAAUCCCACCAGCAAGCUUGGCCCGGCGCCGCCCCGCACUCGGAGACUCAGGAGCUCUCCCAUUCUUGCGAAUGGCAUCCUCAGCCCCCCACCUGCAGACAGGUAACGUUCUGCCGCUAG